GGGUGAACGCAAAUACUCUUACCGUUAAUACGCCGAACGUCUGAUCCAAAGCCCGCUGAAGACUCUCAGUAGCUUUCUGUUGACUUCAAGGAGUUGAGGAUGAUGUCUCGAGAGCAGCACUCGAUAGCUCAUUUCUUAUCUUAUCGAGCCCUUUUAUGUCCUCUGGAAGGUUCAUGCUGAAGACGUUCAGAAGCUAGGUCUCAGUCGAUCAAGCUUUUAAGAUAUGUUUAAUUUUAAGCUUAAUCAACUCAAUGACUUCAAAUCCAGUAGGGCAUUAGGGGAAAAAAAAAAAAAAAAAAAAAAAAAAAGUCUUCCAAUCACCACCCCUGACUCUGAGCAUCUUAUGAAGCCAAACAGCAAAGUGAAUAGCCUGAUGCAUAGCUCUGCCAUUUCUUCAGUCAACAAGCUUUGGUUUGACUUGGAUCACCAACCAGCAGAUAGAUUUUACACCUUCAGAUUUUAUUGGAUCUACUCCGUUCAUUUUCACCCAGUGGAGAACAUUGGCCACCUUGUUCAGAGGCACAGAUCACUGGUAGGAGGCAGAGCAGUGGCCAACGUGCACGGCUGUCUGUCUGUCUGUCUGUCUGACCCAUGGCUAUCCCUGCUGCUCCACACAAGAGCGUUGUGAAAUCAGCUUAGUUCAUUAGCAAGACCCAGGCUGGGUACAGAGCAGCCCUGUGCCAGCCCUCGAGGUGCCCAUGCCUCUCUUCUCCCCACUUCCAGGAUGCACACUGAAAAUACGAACAUUGCGCAGAGCAGCUUUGCAAUUAGAGCACAAUGGGCACAACCAGGAUGCUGCAAAGAACUCAGAUGUUAUUAAACCAGGUGAUCUAAUUGUUCAAGCCUCCCAUUAGCGGACACUCAUGUCCAAACCCUCCAAACAUUAGAACAAAGCAGGGCAAAACUCCCUCUGACUAGUUAGCAGUGCUAUGUUUCAGCUGGAGAACUGGAAGAGAAAUGAAGCGGCUCACCUGAGGUCCCAGCUAUCAAUGCCUGUGAUGGAGUGAAGCAUUCCAGCUCCUCAGCCUGGUACUCAGUCCUAAACAUAGCAUCAUUCUGCCUGCCCUCUGGUCUGCUCUGUGCUUUCUCUUAGUUUAGCAAAGAAAAAAAGUUAAAAAAAAUGUCAACAAAAUGCCUUUUCAGAGUAAUGACAGAGAUCACUGAGGUCUCUUUUGUUUCUUACAACAUAAAACCACCUUUAAAGUUCAGACGGGAGUUUAGCAUUUCGUGCUGAAGGCAGCACCAGUGCUGGGUGAGGUGAGAGUAAAC
rnacentral:lncRNA from 1 species